rnacentral:rRNA from 1 species
GGCGUCUAAUACUGGAUAUGAGCCUUCCACGCAUGUGGGGGGUUGGAAAGAUUUUUUGGUUGGGGAUGGGCUCGCGGCCUAUCAGCUUGUUGGUGAGGUAAUGGCUCACCAAGGCGUCGACGGGUAGCCGGCCUGAGAGGGUGACCGGCCACACUGGGACUGAGACACGGCCCAGACUCCUACGGGAGGCAGCAGUGGGGAAUAUUGCACAAUGGGCGGAAGCCUGAUGCAGCAACGCCGCGUGAGGGAUGACGGCCUUCGGGUUGUAAACCUCUUUUAGCAAGGAAGAAGCGAAAGUGACGGUACUUGCAGAAAAAGCGCCGGCUAACUACGUGCCAGCAGCCGCGGUAAUACGUAGGGCGCAAGCGUUAUCCGGAAUUAUUGGGCGUAAAGAGCUCGUAGGCGGUUUGUCGCGUCUGCUGUGAAAUCCCGAGGCUCAACCUCGGGCCUGCAGUGGGUACGGGCAGACUAGAGUGCGGUAGGGGAGAUUGGAAUUCCUGGUGUAGCGGUGGAAUGCGCAGAUAUCAGGAGGAACACCGAUGGC